CAAGCUCAGGCGAUCCGCCCACCUCUGCCCACCGAAGUUCUGGGAUUACAAGUGUAAGUCUCCACGGCCGGCCUGGACAAAAUAUUAUAUGGUCAUCAUAAAUAGCAUUGUAGGUGGAAACACCUGACUCAAUUCUUUUGUUUCCUUCAUUACAGAGGGACUUAUAUUAGAAGAACACUCUUAACGUCUGUCUUCUUAGUUCCUGCUGUGGAGAUAGCAAUCAUUUAUCUGAUUGGUCAGUUUGGUACAUGCAGUCCUGCAUGUGACAGCCUCUUCCUUUUGCCUGAGGCGGAAACUGCUCACAGGAAAUGACGUUUUACCCAACCCCUCCAGGCAGUAAAACGGAAAGACUCGGAAUUUGCCUCUGCGCCAUCUUUUGGCUGUUACCUGUGAUAUCCUUGGAAGCAGAAUCUUAAACUUUCUGAGGAGAGCAUUUGGGCUUCAGAUUUCUAACAGGCCUCAUUGCAACGAAAUAGACAAGUAGUG
rnacentral:lncRNA from 13 species